rnacentral:tRNA from 1 species
UAGCCUAGUGGUAAGGCCUUGGAUCGCCAAUCCGGAGACGGCGGGCUCAAAUCCCGU